rnacentral:rRNA from 1 species
GACGAACGCUGGCGGCGUGCCUAAUACAUGCAAGUUGAGCGCUGAAGGUUGGUACUUGUACCAACUGGAUGAGCAGCGAACGGGUGAGUAACGCGUGGGGAAUCUGCCUUUGAGCGGGGGACAACAUUUGGAAACGAAUGCUAAUACCGCAUAAAAACUUUAAACACAAGUUUUAAGUUUGAAAGAUGCAAUUGCAUCACUCAAAGAUGAUCCCGCGUUGUAUUAGCUAGUUGGUGAGGUAAAGGCUCACCAAGGCGAUGAUACAUAGCCGACCUGAGAGGGUGAUCGGCCACAGUGGGACUGAGACACGGCCCAAACUCCUACGGGAGGCAGCAGUAGGGAAUCUUCGGCAAUAGACGAAAGUCUGACCGAGCAACGCCGCGCGAGUGAAGAAGGUUUUCGGAUCGUAAAACUCUGUUGGUAGAGAAGAACGUUGGUGAGAGUGGAAAGCUCAUCAAGUGACGGUAACUACCCAGAAAGGGACGGCUAACUACGUG